UACGGAGGAUCCAAGCGUUGUCCGGAAUUAUUGGGUUUAAAGGGUGCGUAGGCGGAUAUUUAAGUCAGUGGUGAAAGCCUACAGCUUAACUGUAGAAUUGCCGUUGAAACUAAAUGUCUUGAGUAUAGUUGGGGUGAAUGGAAUGUUGCAUGUAGCGGUGAAAUGCUUAGAUAUGCAACGGAACACCAAUCGCGAAGGCAAUUCACUAAACUAUUACUGACGCUGAGGCACGAAAGCGUGGGGAGCAAACAGGAUUAGAUACCCUGGUAGUCCACGCCCUAAACGUUGCAUACUAGUUGUUGGCGAUAUACUGUCAGUGACCAAGCGAAAGCAUUAAGUAUGCCACCUGGGGAGUACGACCGCAAGGUUGAA
rnacentral:rRNA from 1 species